rnacentral:rRNA from 1 species
AGGGUUUGAUCAUGGCUCAGAUUGAACGCUGGCGGUAUGCUUAACACAUGCAAGUCGAACGGAAACGAAACUAGCUUGCUAGUAGGCGUCGAGUGGCGGACGGGUGAGUAACGCGUAGGAAUCUGCCUGAUAGUGGGGGAUAGCCCGAAGAAAUUCGGAUUAAUACCGCAUAAUCUAUUCGUAGUAAAGUGGGGGACUUUCGAGCCUCACGCUAUCAGAUGAGCCUGCGUAAGAUUAGCUUGUUGGUAGGGUAAAAGCCUACCAAGGCUACGAUCUUUAGCUGGUCUGAGAGGAUGAUCAGCCACAUCGGGACUGAGACACGGCCCGAACUCCUACGGGAGGCAGCAGUGGGGAAUAUUGGACAAUGGGGGCAACCCUGAUCCAGCAAUACCGCGUGUGUGAAGAAGGCCUGAGGGUUGUAAAGCACUUUCAAUUGUGAAGAAAAGUUAACGGUUAAUAACCGUUGACCUUGACGUUAACUUUAUAAGAAGCACCGGCUAACUCCGUGCCAGCAGCCGCGGUAAUACGGAGGGUGCAAGCGUUAAUCGGAAUUACUGGGCGUAAAGCGUGCGUAGGCGGUUUAUUAA